GCUCAGUAACACGUGGAUAACCUACCCUUAGGACCGGGAUAACCUUGGGAAACUGAGGAUAAUACUAGAUAGGCAAUUAUUUCUGGAAUGAUUUUUUGUUUAAAUGUUUUUUCGCCUAAGGAUGAGUCUGCGGCCGAUUAGGUAGUUGGUUAGGUAAUGGCUUACCAAGCCGUUGAUCGGUACGGGUUGUGAGAGCAAGAGCCCGGAGAUGGAACCUGAGACAAGGUUCCAGGCCCUACGGGGUGCAGCAGGCGCGAAACCUCCGCAAUGUGAGAAAUCGCGACGGGGGGAUCCCAAGUGCCAUUCUUAACGGGAUGGCUUUUCAUUAGUGUAAAGAGCUUUUGGAAUAAGAGCUGGGCAAGACCGGUGCCAGCCGCCGCGGUAACACCGGCAGCUCUAGUGGUAGCAAUUUUUAUUGGGCCUAAAGCGUCCGUAGCCGGUUUAAUAAGUCUCUGGUGAAAUCCUGUAGCUUAACUGUGGGAAUUGCUGGAGAUACUAUUAGACUUGAGACCGGGAGAGGUUAGAGGUACUCCCAGGGUAGAGGUGAAAUUCUGUAAUCCUGGGAGGACCGCCUGUUGCGAAGGCGUCUAACUGGAACGGUUCUGACGGUGAGGGACGAAAGUUAGGGGCGCGAACCGGAUUAGAUACCCGGGUAGUCCUAACUGUAAACGAUGCGGACUUGGUGUUGGGGUGGCUUUGAGCUGUCCCAGUGCCGAAGGGAAGCUGUUAAGUCCGCCGCCUGGGAAGUACGGUCGCAAGACUGAAACUUAAAGGAAUUGGCGGGGGAGCAC
rnacentral:rRNA from 1 species